rnacentral:rRNA from 1 species
GGACGAACGCUGGCGGCGUGCUUAACACAUGCAAGUCGAACGAUGAUGCCCAGCUUGCUGGGUGGAUUAGUGGCGAACGGGUGAGUAACACGUGAGUAACCUGCCCCUGACUCUGGGAUAAGCGUUGGAAACGACGUCUAAUACUGGAUAUGAUCACUGGCCGCAUGGUCUGGUGGUGGAAAGAUUUUUUGGUUGGGGAUGGACUCGCGGCCUAUCAGCUUGUUGGUGAGGUAAUGGCUCACCAAGGCGACGACGGGUAGCCGGCCUGAGAGGGUGACCGGCCACACUGGGACUGAGACACGGCCCAGACUCCUACGGGAGGCAGCAGUGGGGAAUAUUGCACAAUGGGCGAAAGCCUGAUGCAGCAACGCCGCGUGAGGGAUGACGGCCUUCGGGUUGUAAACCUCUUUUAGUAGGGAAGAAGCGAAAGUGACGGUACCUGCAGAAAAAGCACCGGCUAACUACGUGCCAGCAGCCGCGGUAAUACGUAGGGUGCAAGCGUUGUCCGGAAUUAUUGGGCGUAAAGAGCUCGUAGGCGGUUUGUCGCGUCUGCUGUGAAAUCCCGAGGCUCAACCUCGGGCUUGCAGUGGGUACGGGCAGACUAGAGUGCGGUAGGGGAGAUUGGAAUUCCUGGUGUAGCGGUGGAAUGCGCAGAUAUCAGGAGGAACACCGAUGGCGAAG